CGGACCCGCUCUCCGUCCCGCAUGAAGCCCUUGCUCUUGCCGGGUCGCACCCCCGCCAGGGUCACCAUGUCCCUUGCGGGGCUCAGAUAGAUGUGUCUGGGUCCCUGGUUCUGCUAACCGGUGCCAGCCAUGUCCCCCCAGGCGGCUGGCCAGCCCCAUCACUGGACUGCUUUGUGGCUGAGGCCCUCCUGGGAUCAGAGGACACGUAUGUGUGCAGCACCCACGCUAAGCUGAAGAGUGACACCUUGAAGGGUUCCCCUUGAAAAGAAGAACAUGGCUGCCUCAGGGCGGCAACUGCAGGGACACCACAAAGGCCUCUCCCAUCACCCUCCCUCCCUCAUCUGGGAAGUGACUCAUGACAGGAGCUGCAAGAGUGACGUGAGGAAUGUGUCUUUCGCUUUAAUGUCUAUUAAAUAAGUUAGUAGGAGAAACA